UUGGGGCGUGUAAGUCUCUGCCGAAUAUAGCAGCAUACGAGAGGAUCCACUUGUGCUCCUGAUCACACCACCUCCCCUAUUUGGGACUUGUGCCCCACUCCCGCUGUGAGGGCUACACCGAGCUCUGGGGGCCUGUUCGGAUUAACAAGGAGAUCUUGCUAAAGGUAUCUUGGUGCUAAGUUAAGGGAGAUAGUUCGCCAUGGGCUAGGAUCUCUCAGUGCUGGUGACCUUGGGUGAGUGUCUCCCUGUAAAGUGAUAAGGAUGCCUGCUGGAAAGGGUGGUGGGAGGAUUAAGUGCGUUAAAGAGGCCCUCCUCCCAAGCUUUUAGUUGGCCUCCAUUGUGAUCGUGGUUAUUGCUGGGAGUGGCUGCAGGGGGUGGGGGCUGGGCUGCCUCAGAGCUUCCCCCCGCACCAGCCCACCUGCUGAAGCACGUGUCCCUGCCUCAGGGCAAAGGGGAAUCUGGCGCUCCCUGGGAAGGCGGCCAACGCGGUUCUCCUCUGGAGUGGUUGAGUCCAGCUGCAGGCCUUUCCCCAUCCACAGGGGCUGUUCCAUGAUGGGGUCAAGAUUUGGGUCACCCACCCAUGGUCCGGGGAGAAGUGACUCCCCAAGGUCACAAGGCCACCACCAAUAGAGCCAGGAUGGGGUUCCAGGUGGCUUGACUUGGCAGCCAGCGCCUGUGCCCAUGGCACCCCCUCACCCCAGCUGUCUGGGUUAUUUUGGGCUUCCUCCCGUGCCAGCUGUCUGCUGGCAUCCCUGCCCGGGACUGUCUGGUUGGAAGUAACUGGCGUGGUGCUGUUGGCUCCUCCUGUGAGGGCCAGGGCUGGGUCUUCAAUCCCCGAUGAGCCGUGCUGGGUCCAGCUCCUUUGCUGGGAGGGAAGAGUGUUCCUGCCCAGACUCCCCGCUGCCCAAGUACAGCAAGAGGGCGAAAGCACCUGAUAAAAAUUGAGGUUCACAUUGUUAAUAUCCCAAAAGCCUCCUCCUUCUAUACUCCCUGAAACCUGUUUUAAAUUUGGCUCUGCCAUUGAACCCCGUUGCUCUCACGUUACCCUCUGCCGCCCGAGGGUGUGGCGCCUCCCUUUAGAGUCUUCGUUGCUCUCCGGGUGGGGUCUUUACUCCCCACCUGCUUUGGAUAAUUAAGUAAUUGAUGUACGUCUCCCUCCCAGCUGCACCCUGGAGGGCUCCAGCCAGUUUCUCCCCUCCCUGGAUCCAAUCAGUGAGCUGUUGGGUGCUCAGCUGUGGUCUGGAUGUGGUUCUCGGCACGGUGUCGGGACCCACCUGGCUGGACUGUACCCCUCUCUCUCUGCUUUGGUCCCUCUUCUUUCUUUGUCCCCCCACCAUCACCUCUUGGGGCAGGGAGGGUGAGGCAGUUUGUCCUCCUGCUGCUGUUCCUGCUGGUCCCUCGAGGGCGCCCCGCCCACCGGUCACCCAGCGAACGCGGGGCGGGGCCGCUGCUGGCGCUGGGCCCCAGGGCUUGCAGAGAGAGGGCCACGCCAGCGGAAGGGCCGGCCAGGAGGUGGCAGGACUUGCCUUACUACUGAGUCGCCGGCAUCCCCGCCUCUUCCGGCCUCUCCGCCCGGAGCCCUAGCGUGGAACAUGACCUUUCGGACCCUCUGGGUGGAGACACAGCCUCUGCCUGGGCUGUGCAGUGAGGUGGCACCACCAUCUCAGGUCGUCUGGCCCAGUGCAUCUGUAGCUGGCAUGUGACUUCCAGCAAGCUCCUGCCCCUGAGCGCUGGGAGGAGCAGGUCCAGCAAUAAUUUUUUUUUUUUUUUUUUUGAGACAGAGUUUCGCUCUUGUUGCCCAGGCAAUGGUGUGAUCUGGGCUCACCGCAACCUCCGCCUCCAGGGUUCAAGCGAUUCUCCUGCCUCAGCCUCCGAGUAGCUGGGAUUACAGGCAUGUGCCACCACGCCCGGAUAAUUUUGUAUUUUUAGUAGAGACAGGGUUUCUCCAUGUUGGUCAGGCUGGUCUCAAACUGACCUCAGGUGAUCCGCCCACCUCGGCCUCCCAAAGUGCUGGGAUUACAGGCAUGAGCCACCGCGCCUGGCCGGACAAUAAUGUUUUGAGCUGUUGCUGAGUCUGGCUUUUGUGACGGGAACUUUUAGCACUCAAGGAGUGGCCUUGUCUCUGGCCUGUCCCCGAGUGCUCAUGGGCAGCCAAGGCCUGGGGACUGCUCAGGCAGGGUAGAUGUAUUUGCCAGGCCAGCUCCCGUCCCUGGGACCUCAGGGAGUAGCUUCAUCCCUGAAGGCUGAGUGUCUUCUGCCUCAUGUGGGUGGCCCCUCUGCAGGGUUCUCAGGCAUCCAGGGAAGUGGGUGCCACAGCGUUGCCUCCAGCCUCACUGGGGCUGGCUGGACUUUGCUCUGACAACACAGCAGUGGCUGGGCCCCUGCAACUCUCCAGGGCUCAGUUUCCCUGUUGGCCGCACUAUGGCAUAGGCCCCUGUGUGGACACCGAUGAGCUGACCCCACAAAUGCCACCCGGCCGCUCCCCCAGGCUUCAGUGGCCUAACAGCUGUUGUGUCAGGAACCAGCUUAAAGAAUCUUUCUUGCUUUCUCAAACUCUCCAGGAAUUCCUGGUGACUGGAAGGGGGAGUGACUCAGGCCCUCAACCUCUAGCAGGUAAGGGAGCUACCUCCUGGGUGGGCAUGCCCAGUUCCUCAGUGGGCCCAGCGCGGCCCAGCCUCCGAGGAAGCUCUGAGCAGCUGGCUUGGCUCCGAGGUAUUUUUAGCUACAGAUCCAGCCCCCCUCCAUCACCACAACAGUCGAGUCCAAAUCAAACGCGCUCCAGGCAGGUGGGGCUGGGGUUCUGCCAGCCUCCUGGCCAGCAGGGGUGGGUGGGCAGACUGGGGCCAGUAUCAGCUGUUCUGCCUGGACCCAGGCCGGGCUGGGAAGGCACACUUGUGCUUAUUUCCCGCCUCCACUUCUGUGCAAGCUUGUGCUGUCAUAAGCAGAGAUCACAGCCCCAUUUCUUGGAUGGAGAAAGUGGACACUGAGGUCUGAGGCUUUUGAGGACAGUCAGGAGCCCUCCUAUGGGCUCCAGUGAUGCACUCACCAGCUUCUGGUCCUCUUCUUCCACCUCUUAGAGUGCCUUGGCUCCCUCCUGUCGUCCUGGGGAACCUCGGCCCCAGCCCUGCCUCCCCAGCCAGUCACAGCUCCUCCCUGGUCACCCUGAGGGAGCUCAGGGCCCGGCUGGUAGCUGGGUUGCUCUGCUUCUGUCCCCCACUCCUGUGGAGCCUGGCAGGCAACUCCAUGAUCUGACCCCGGUUACCUUGACAGCCCUGCCUGGCCUCCCCUCUCAUGGCCCAGCCACCCCAGAACCUGAAGAGGUUUUCUAGCUGCCGUGCAUUUGCCAGGCUGGGUUACCCACCCUACUUUCCCUGCCUGCCCUCCAGUGCUGCCAGGCCUAGUGUGCCAGCCAGCGCUCAGCCUUCAGUAAAGGGUUCCCCUGCUUCCAACCUCCAUUGCACUGCUUCCCCUAAGACUGUGACCUCCUGGAAGGCUGGAGCACAACUGCCUCUCAAUAAACGUGUUGCAAAAA
rnacentral:lncRNA from 1 species